UCUCGGCAAAUUAUCCUCAUAAGUUUGACGAUAAGAGGAACCUCCUCCGCUCCCGGAUCCCAUGUUUCUUCAUGGAGUCCGGCUGCUGAGUAGGUGGCACAAAAUCGGAGGCCCCGACUGUUUACUAAAAACACAAUUCAGAGCAAUGAUUAAUAUCAUAUGUAUUCUGGAUGAAAUUUGCUCAAUGCCAUUAAUACAAGAGAGGUGAUAGGAUAACUGUUACUAAUCGAAAUUCUGGUCAAUAGCGGUCUUAACUAUGAGGAUCCUAAGGUAGCAAAAUAAAUUGGCCAUUAAAUGUGGUCCGGUAUCAAUAGUGUAACGAUGGUCUCACUGUCUCUACAACUUGCUCAGUGAAAUUGAAUUACCCGUGCAGAUGCGGGUUACCUCCAGGUGGACCGGGAAGACCCUAUGCAGCUUCUACUGA
rnacentral:rRNA from 1 species